GUGGGGAAUCUUGCGCAAUGGGCGAAAGCCUGACGCAGCCAUGCCGCGUGAAUGAUGAAGGUCUUAGGAUUGUAAAAUUCUUUCACCGGGGACGAUAAUGACGGUACCCGGAGAAGAAGCUCCGGCUAACUUCGUGCCAGCAGCCGCGGUAAUACGAAGGGGGCUAGCGUUGCUCGGAAUUACUGGGCGUAAAGGGCGCGUAGGCGGACAGCUUAGUCAGAGGUGAAAGCCCCGGGCUCAACCUUGGAAUUGCCUUUGAUACUGGCUGUCUUGAGUUUGGGAGAGGUGAGUGGAACUCCGAGUGUAGAGGUGAAAUUCGUAGAUAUUCGGAAGAACACCAGUGGCGAAGGCGACUCACUGGCCCAAUACUGACGCUGAGGCGCGAAAGCGUGGGGAGCAAACAGGAUUAGAAACCCGAGUAGUCC
rnacentral:rRNA from 1 species